AACGGCUUCCUGUGUGUAAGGGCUCCCCGGUUCUCCAGGGAAGGUUCAGUCUCUUGAUUUGACUGCCUCUCUCUGGUUGCCUGCAGUCUUCUCCGCCUCCUGCUGAUGGAGACCCCUUGCUUAGCAAGUUAGCCAGUAGCACAAAAAUGGCAGGAAAGGAUGCGUGAUGAGCGGCAUCUUCCUACGUCACUAUUUCAGCACCGCGGACAGCAUGCCGCCUGGACAGUUGUGUUGGCAGCCCUGCAGCUCCAUUACCAUCCACAGAGGGGCAGCGCAGCAGUUUGCAGCCACUGUGGACCAGGGAGAGAAAAUGAAAUAAAUGUGGGGAUAAAUCAGGAAAACCGGCACACAUGAAGAAGAGGUCACACCCAGAGUGUCGUUGCUAGGAUACAGCAUCUGAAGCAUCAUGGAGGGGUGGUACCGGGGUACUCCAUCUUCAGCCCCCCCACCACCGUGAUCCUGCUUCCUCCCCUCUGUCCCCCCCCCCCCCCUGCCACUUCCCCCUGGGGUUUGGCUGAAUGGCCUGGGCUGACAGGGGCUGAAUGGUUCGGGGUGACAGGGGGGUGGUGUCCUAUUUGUCCCUAAAUGCUUCUCUAUAGACCCCUGAUAAUAGACUGGCUGCCUGUUCCCCUUCCCCACCCACCCCACCAAACCUCCGCCGCCACCUUGACCCACUCUGUCUCUGUCUCCUUGUCUCAUUGUCUCCCUCCUCAUCCCCUCUGUCUCGCUUUCCUCCCUAUCAUGCCUCCUUCUCUUCCUAUCUCUUUCUCUGUCUCUCUUUUUCCUUUUUCUUUCUGCUGCUGCACUUCUCCAGGUAUAACGGCACUGGGUUAAGUCCUCUGAUGUAUAAGCAUUCUUUGCUGCUUGUUAGAUCGUCCGUGUGCUGCGUUCAAGUGUCGGCAGUGUACAUGUAGAAGCAGAAGGUCACUGCUUAUUACUCACCUCUCCAGCUCCUCAGCAUUGUCCAGCAGCUCCGGCUCUGCCAGUGUAAGUAGGAGCUGCUUUUGAUGUUGGUCUUUCAUGCUUUGUCGGGAGACAUAGCUGAGGAUACCUUUGAUGACUGCAGGCCUGUUAGUCAGGCUGUGUGAUAAAUGAGAGAUCCGACAUUAAAAAAAAAAAAAAAAGGCUUUUCCUUAACUUCCUGUGAUCAAAUAAUAAAGCGAUGAAACCGUUUCGAGCAGAAGCUUUGAAAAACAUACCAAGAUCAAGCCUCUCUCUGUGUUCACCACACACUCAAAAGGAAGGCACAAAGAGAGGUCACCAACCUGCAUCUGGAUCACCCUCUGCUUAGUGGAUUCACUUCAUCACAUGUUUGUGUGCUUUCACAGUGAAAAAAAAAAUCUGUUUACUAACUUGAAUGUGCAUGAGUGCAUGCUUGAUUUUAUAUACAUCUGUGUCUAUGUGGGAGCAUGCACGCCUGUGUUAGGGGUCAGGAGUGAAGAUGUUACCCUCUGGUCAUUCAUCACAAGCGUGACACACUCUCCCCUGCGCUCCGGUACGCAGAGGCAAUGUUUUAUAAAAGAAUAACACGUCAGCGGGCACCCGCCGGCCAUCCAUUACCACCCCGUACAACCUGCAAAGAUGUAUAAUAGACUCACAGAUCUCAUGCACUCGCUGCGCAACAUACUUGUUGUCUGCAUAUACUUCAACACUCAUUGUCCUGCUAUUUUUUGUUUUAGAGGUUAUUGUAAUAACAUUUAUUGACUAUAAAAUUCUGCUUCCUUUUGCACUGCGAUUGAUUUGUCAAAGAAAAGUGCUCUACAAAUAAGAUUAAUAUUAUUAUAUUAUUAUGACUGCGUGAGAUUUGUGUUGUAGGUAGAAAGAGGCAGAUGAUAAAGGGAAUGGGUAGGUUUAAGACACAAUCCAGAAGCAGAGUUGGUGUAUGGGACCUGAGUAGACUGUCAAUCAUAUUGUAUUUAUGCAAAUAUACAAUAUGCCUCCACAUUAUGA